UACGUAGGCAGCGAGCGUUGUUCGGAGUUACUGGGCGUAAAGAGUGCGUAGGCGGUUUUCUAAGUUUGGUGUGAAAUCUCCCGGCUCAACUGGGAGGGUGCGCCGAAGACUGGAAGGCUUGAGUAUGGGAGAGGUAAGCGGAAUUCCUGGUGUAGCGGUGAAAUGCGUAGAUAUCGGGAGGAACACCAGUGGCGAAGGCGGCUUCCUGGCCUGUUCUUGACGCUGAGGCGCGAAAGCUAGGGGAGCAAACGGG
rnacentral:rRNA from 1 species